AUUGAACGCUGGCGGCAGGCCUAACACAUGCAAGUCGAGCGGAUGAGUGGAGCUUGCUCCAUGAUUCAGCGGCGGACGAGUGAGUAAUGCCUAGGAAUCUGCCUGGUAGUGGGGGACAACGUUUCGAAAGGAACGCUAAUACCGCAUACGUCCUACGGGAGAAAGCGGGGGAUCUUCGGACCUCACGCUAUCAGAUGAGCCUAGGUCGGAUUAGCUGGUUGGUGAGGUAAAGGAUCACCUAGGCGACGAUCCGUAACUGUUCUGAGAGGAUGAUCAGUCACACUGGAACUGAGACACGGUCCAGACUCCUACGGGAGGCAGCAGUGGGGAAUAUUGGACAAUGGGCGAAAGCCUGAUCCAGCCAUGUCGCGUGUGUGAAGAAGGUCUUCGGAUUGUAAAGCACUUUAAGUUGGGAGGAAGGGCAGUAAGUUAAUACCUUGCUGUUUUGACGUUACCAACAGAAUAAGCACCGGCUAACUUCGUGCCAGCCGCCGCGGUAAGAC
rnacentral:rRNA from 1 species